UUAAAACUUUCAACAACGGAUCUCUUGGUUCCGGCAUCGAUGAAGAACGCAGCGAAAUGCGAUACGUAAUGUGAAUUGCAAAUUCAGUGAAUCAUCGAGUCUUUGAACGCACAUUGCGCCCCCUGGUAUUCCGGGGGGCAUGCCUGUCCGAGCGUCA
rnacentral:rRNA from 1 species